rnacentral:rRNA from 1 species
AAAUUGAAGAGUUUGAUCAUGGCUCAGAUUGAACGCUGGCGGCAGGCCUAACACAUGCAAGUCGAACGGUAGCACAGAGAGCUUGCUCUCGGGUGACGAGUGGCGGACGGGUGAGUAAUGUCUGGGAAACUGCCUGAUGGAGGGGGAUAACUACUGGAAACGGUGGCUAAUACCGCAUAACGUCGCAAGACCAAAGAGGGGGACCUUCGGGCCUCUUGCCAUCAGAUGUGCCCAGAUGGGAUUAGCUUGUUGGUGAGGUAACGGCUCACCAAGGCGACGAUCCCUAGCUGGUCUGAGAGGAUGACCAGCCACACUGGAACUGAGACACGGUCCAGACUCCUACGGGAGGCAGCAGUGGGGAAUAUUGCACAAUGGGCGCAAGCCUGAUGCAGCCAUGCCGCGUGUAUGAAGAAGGCCUUCGGGUUGUAAAGUACUUUCAGCGGGGAGGAAGGUGUUGCGGUUAAUAACCGCAGCAAUUGACGUUACCCGCAGAAGAAGCACCGGCUAACUCCGUGCCAGCAGCCGCGGUAAUACGGAGGGUGCAAGCGUUAAUCGGAAUUACUGGGCGUAAAGCGCACGCAGGCGGUCUGUCAAGUCGGAUGUGAAAUCCCCGGGCUCAACCUGGGAACUGCAUUCGAAACUGGCAGGCUUGAGUCUUGUAGAGGGGGUAGAAUUCCAGGUGUAGCGGUGAAAUGCGUAGAGAUCUGGAGGAAUACCGGUGGCGAAGGCGGCCCCCUGGACAAAGACUGACGCUCAGGUGCGAAAGCGUGGGGAGCAAACAGGAUUAGAUACCCUGGUAGUCCACGCCGUAAACGAUGUCUACUUGGAGGUUGUGCCCUUGAGGCGUGGCUUCCGGAGCUAACGCGUUAAGUAGACCGCCUGGGGAGUACGGCCGCAAGGUUAAAACUCAAAUGAAUUGACGGGGGCCCGCACAAGCGGUGGAGCAUGUGGUUUAAUUCGAUGCAACGCGAAGAACCUUACCCUGGUCUUGACAUCCACAGAACUUUCCAGAGAUGGAUUGGUGCCUUCGGGAACUGUGAGACAGGUGCUGCAUGGCUGUCGUCAGCUCGUGUUGUGAAAUGUUGGGUUAAGUCCCGCAACGAGCGCAACCCUUAUCCUUUGUUGCCAGCGGUUAGGCCGGGAACUCAAAGGAGACUGCCAGUGAUAAACUGGAGGAAGGUGGGGAUGACGUCAAGUCAUCAUGGCCCUUACGACCAGGGCUACACACGUGCUACAAUGGCGCAUACAAAGAGAAGCGACCUCGCGAGAGCAAGCGGACCUCAUAAAGUGCGUCGUAGUCCGGAUUGGAGUCUGCAACUCGACUCCAUGAAGUCGGAAUCGCUAGUAAUCGUGGAUCAGAAUGCCACGGUGAAUACGUUCCCGGGCCUUGUACACACCGCCCGUCACACCAUGGGAGUGGGUUGCAAAAGAAGUAGGUAGCUUAACCUUCGGGAGGGCGCUUACCACUUUGUGAUUCAUGACUGGGGUGAAGUCGUAACAAGGUAACCGUAGGGGAACCUGCGGUUGGAUCACCUCCUUA